CACCAGGGAGACUACCUGGGCUCAGCUCUCUACAGUAAAGCCGCUAAGCAAGGUUUCUCUCCAUCCCUGGAGGGCCACCCAUAACAGUAAUCAGAGAUGUGGACCAUGAAUAGAAUCACAGCAGAGAAGACUCCAGUUGGCCUACUGUCACUGCCCUGGCCAGUGGCCAGCACCGCCCACCUCAGGUGCUGGGAUCCUGUAGUUCCUGUGCUCUUCAAAGGUUGCCACUCUGAUUUCUUGUGGUCUUGGAAAUCUGCCUUCAGAAUGAUUCAUCCACCACUCAACUGGGUUGCUUAAGUCUUUCAUACCCUCAGCAGUUCUACAAAUAAGACAGUUGCCUAUUAUCUGUCUGUCAUCAGUCACUAUGUCAAUGAAGAAA
rnacentral:lncRNA from 1 species